rnacentral:rRNA from 1 species
UACGUAGGGUGCAAGCGUUGUCCGGAAUUAUUGGGCGUAAAGAGCUCGUAGGCGGUUUGUCGCGUCUGCUGUGAAAACUCGGGGCUUAACCCCGGGCCUGCAGUGGGUACGGGCAGACUAGAGUGCGGUAGGGGAGACUGGAAUUCCUGGUGUAGCGGCGAAAUGCGCAGAUAUCAGGAGGAACACCGGUGGCGAAGGCGGAUCUCUGGGCCUUACCUGACGCUGAGGAGCGAAAGCAUGGGGAGCAAACAGG